GUGACUUGAUAUUUCAAACCUGUAAUGAAACAGCAGGUCACAGAAUGUGUAGAAUUAGAUAUAAUUUUAUGCACCUUUCAAGUAUAUUUAGUGUUGCUCAGAUAUGCCAAGUUUCCAUUAUCUGAUUUUGUUUUCUCUAUGCCCUAGGAGGUUUUGUCUGUCGAAGAGAAGGGGAGUGUCUGGUGAGAGCGAUCCUCAUUGUUUAUAUCUAAUUUUUCACAAAAUAUGUUAACACAGCUUGCUUUCCAUCUUCCUUAAAAAUUGACUUGCAAAAUGUCUAAGCCUAAGCCCAUUUGAAACAAUUCCAAUAGUUUAUAAAAAUCAUAGCAUGUUGUUUACUGUGUAGUGACCUCCUUUAGAAGGAUUUGGUACUCCAGGUGUCUGGUAUGCUCAACAAAUCACUUUUCAGCUGAUACAUAAAGCAACUGGAAGGCCAGUAUAAUAAACGGACUCAAGGACAUUUCAUGUCAUUAUCUUUCUUUUUAUAGCUUGAGGAUGUGGACAUGGCUUGGAUCAGUCAGGUGACCACCUGCACUCUGGACAAUUGCACUUCUUGGUUGAUAAAAACUAGCGGGGAGGGGGAAACUGGCUGGGCCAGAAAGGUGAUUAAUGCCUCCUUGCAGGAGGGGAUGGUCUCUGCCUGUUUGAAGGAAGCAGUGGUAAAACCACUCCUCAAGAAACCCUCAUUGGAUUAGGAAAAUCUAAGUAACUGUUGGCCAGUUGCCAGUCUCCCUUCCUGACUGAUGGUUGUAGGCCAGUUCCAGGUGCUCUUGAAAGAAAUUGAUUUUCUAGAUCCAUUUCAAUCGGGGUUUUAGGCCCAGUUUUGGCACAGAAACUGCUUGGGUCACCCUGUAUGAUAACUUCUGUCUGGAGAGGGACAGGAGAAAUGUGUCCCUGUUAGUUGGCCUUGACCUCUCAACUGGUAUCCUUCUGGAGUGGUUAUCCAAGUUGGGGGUGUGCGACACUGCAUUGCAGUGGUUCCAGUCCUACUUAGUUUCCAGAGAGCGAUGCUUCUGGCCCUGUGUGGGGUUCCUCAGGGUUCAAUAUUAUCCCCCAUGCUGUUUGACACCUACAUGAAACUUCUGAGUGGGUUCAUCCAGUGGAGUACGUUGUCACCAAUAUGCUAAUGGCACAUAGCUCAACUUCUCUUUUACACCUGCAGGUGAGGCAGUGGAUGUGCUGCGCCAUCAUCUUGCUUUGGCAAUGGACUGGAUGAGAGCCAACAAAAUGAAGCUUAAUCCAGAAAAGUUUGGAGGCCAGAAUUCAGAAUUCAGAGGCCAGGUUGCUCACUGGGACCAGAUGGUCUGAGCAUAUAACACCGAUUCUGACCAAACUGCACUGGCUGCCAGUCAGUUUCCAGGUCUAAUUCAACAUGCUUGUUUUGAGUUACAAAGCUUCAAACGGCUCAGAACCACAAUACCUCUCCCCAUAUGAACCGAUUAGGACUCUGUGGUCAUCAUCUGAGGCCCUUCUUCAGUCUCCCUCGCUACAAGAGGUCUGGAAGCGGGUAUCAUGAGAAUGGGCCUUUUCUAUAGUGUCUCCCCAUUUGUGGAAUGCUUGCCUGGUGCCUUUGCUACAUAUCUUUAGGCUCCAGGCAAAAACAUUCCCAUUCUCCUAGGAUUUUGGCUAAUUAAACAAUGUAUGGUCCUGUACACUGGGGUGGGUGCAGGAGUAAUUGUUGUUGUUACCAUAUUAUGAACUUCUGCGUUUUUAUAUUGUAAAACAGAUGAAUGGUGG